rnacentral:rRNA from 1 species
AAUAGAUACCCUGGUAGUCCACGCCGUAAACGAUGAGUGCUAAGUGUUAGAGGGUUUCCGCCCUUUAGUGCUGAAGUUAACGCAUUAAGCACUCCGCCUGGGGAGUACGGUCGCAAGACUGAAACUCAAAGGAAUUGACGGGGGCCCGCACAAGCGGUGGAGCAUGUGGUUUAAUUCGAAGCAACGCGAAGAACCUUACCAGGUCUUGACAUCCUCUGACAACCCUAGAGAUAGGGCUCUCCCUUCGGGGACAGAGUGACAGGUGGUGCAUGGUUGUCGUCAGCUCGUGUCGUGAGAUGUUGGGUUAAGUCCCGCAACGAGCGCAACCCUUGAUCUUAGUUGCCAGCAUUUAGUUGGGCACUCUAAGGUGACUGCCGGUGACAAACCGGAGGAAGGUGGGGAUGACGUCAAAUCAUCAUGCCCCUUAUGACCUGGGCUACACACGUGCUACAAUGGACGGUACAAAGAGUCGCGAGACCGCGAGGUGGAGCUAAUCUCAUAAAACCGUUCUCAGUUCGGAUUGUAGGCUGCAACUCG